rnacentral:tRNA from 1 species
CCGGACCCUUGGGAUGGGUCCGAGUCCAGCCGAAGGUUGGACGAUGACCCGUGGGGGGUUAGUUUCGCCCCGGAUGCUUCUGAGAGUUCCGGU